AACGAACGCUGGCGGCGCGCCUAAUACAUGCAAGUCGAGCGAGAAGACGUAGCAAUACGUUUGUAAAGCGGCGAACGGGUGAGGAAUACAUGGGUAACCUACCCUAGAGUGGGGAAUAACUAGCCGAAAGGUUAGCUAAUACCGCGUACGCUCCUUGGACUUCGGUUCAGGGAGGAAAGCGAUGCCGAGGGUAUCGCGCUCUUGGAUGGGCUCAUGUCCUAUCAGCUUGUUGGUGAGGUAACGGCUCACCAAGGCUUCGACGGGUAGCUGGUCUGAGAGGACGAUCAGCCACACUGGCACUGCGACACGGGCCAGACUCCUACGGGAGGCAGCAGUAAGGAAUAUUGCGCAAUGGGCGAAAGCCUGACGCAGCGACGCCGCG
rnacentral:rRNA from 1 species